CAACUUGCUCUUCUUCUACUAAAUUAAAGAUUCGUGUGGAGAUUCUGUCGAUAUAAUCAUAUAUUUAUAUCUGCUCUUUCUUAAAAUGGAGACGUCCAUCUCUGAGACAACAAAAACGUAAAUAAAUGGAAGAUAAAAGCAAGAAAGACAACCCUAAUAAAGGAGUCAGGACUAAAACUAGUAAUUAUUUCCCCUUAUUUCAUGAUUGUCGAAUGUAGUGCGAGUUAUAAAUAGACAAUUUUUCCCUUAAUUUUUUUCUCCCCUCUUCCUGCAUUUUUGGGUUGACUUUUUGGUCUAGAAUUGGAGAAAAGGGAUCAAAUUUGCAAUUUCAUAGCAGUUUUGGGUAAUACUGAUGAUAUUACAGCGGAGGGAUAGGGGUUGUAAAGUGUCUUUCUGCAGAGCAAUCAUUGUGUCGGAAGUGAGAUUUUCACCCCUGUCAACUUCAAAUCCGUGUAGCAAAAAAUCUAAACGGUCAACCCCCUACAAAAUUAUGAUGAGGAGAUUGCCAAAUGUUGUCCCCAUUGUGCCUAUAAAGAUUGGAACCAACGGAAUGUUGAGCAAAAAGCUACAGCCUGUGAUGUUACAGUCAUUUAACAUUGAAGUCAAUGGGCAAAUAAUUGCUAGUCUGACUCCUGAUGAUAUAAAGAAGCAUGGCCGACUCGGGAUGUUGAUAUUUUUUCAACGGCUUAUUUCCUGAAGUUUUGAAUGGAAAGUGUCAGAAAUGGUGCCAGGGCAAUGUUUCAUAGAGUGGAAUGAUUGACCUCAACACAAGUAUUAAAAAAAAAAGAAGCAAAACAGGUCUACAUCUCAAAACCUGAUCUCUUCCUGGACUGGCUUUAGGAGAACGAUGAUGCAUAUCAAUUUCAUCCCUGAUCUCUAUGACACCUGUGGUGGAAGUGGAGGGCAAAUCGUAAUCAGUUUGGGUUCCAGCCCCGAGGACCUCUGUAAACUUUGCUUUUUGGUGAUGACUUAAUUUCCGAGCUUGAAAAGGACGCUUGUGUGUUUAUCAUGGCCUCUCAUAUUGGAAGAUAACAUUAAUGGCUUGUGUGUUGAUCGACGGUUGUGCAUAUCUCUUGGUCAGGAAAGUUGUCGGCACCAUCGCCAUUGUAAAUCAUUUGACAGGCCCGAGUGAACGGGGCGACCUAUGAUUGGUCAGCAAUGUAUCAGAUUCCAUACCGGGGGGUGGGGAUGAAAAAACUGUUGUAGUGUUACAUAAUCAGAUUAUUUCAACUUACUUAUCCUGUGGAAAUACAGCUAUAUAGGAGAUAUUUUGAAAUUCAUAGGCACUGCAUGUUUCAACAUUUUAGAUUGACCACAAUCUGGCACUUGAAACUAUGUUAACAGAGAAAAACUGUGUGGUUUUCGAUGAAAGUGUUAAAAGUCUAAUAUUGCAUCAUGAUUACUGUUUUAAAGUAUUUUCGUGUUUGAUUUAUAUUGAAUUCAUCUCAUCUUUUUGAAGAAUGCAUUUAUGUUCAAUAAUAAAAAUGUUCUGUGGAAUUCAAAAUUCAUGUGCUUUUAAAUUAUCAGAUUCCAAACUGGGGGGUAGGGAUCAAAAAGCUGUUGUAGUGUUACAUAAUCAGAUUAUUUCAACUUACUUAUCCUAUGGAAAUACAGCUAUAUAGGAGAUAUUUUAAAAUUGAUAGGCACUGCAUGUUUCAACAUUUAGAUUUGACCACAAUUUGGCACUUGAAACUACGUUAACAGAGAAAAACUGUGUGGUUUUCGAUGAAAGUGUUAAAAAGUCUAAUAUUGCAUUAUGAUUACUGUUUUAA